rnacentral:sRNA from 1 species
AAUAAAGGAACUCAGUCUAAGAACGUCACUUCCUGUGGCAACAACUGAGUGACCAACAUCACGUUGG